UGUGACAAAUUCCUCGCACUUCACACCAUUCCACCAGUUGGCGCUCUUAUCUUAUCGCAACAAAAAUGUGCACCCCCAGAAGUGUACGAGAGUGUCACACCGAUAGCGGCUGUGUUUAUUUAUUUUUUGCGCGUGUGAUUCACAGCCUAAAGUCUGUUUACACUGCCCCUUCGUCACAACCAGCGCUUGACUAUACCAACACGGCCUGUGCGCCGUUAACUGUGACUAAAGUCAGUCUAACGUGCCACUUGCGGCUUGAUUGAUCGGUUCUCAUUAGCGCGUUCCGCUGACAAGUUUAUAACCUCAAAAAAUUAAAAUAAAAAAAAGAUGCGUCUAUCGCUGGGAAUCCGAACCGUGCUGAUGCUGGUGGCCGUCACGCUUGCAACACUGCUCCUCGUAGAGCUGCCCGUGGUCACCGAGGGACGCACCAUCUACUACAACCCGGCGAACCGGUCCAAGCACAACGAAACCAACACGAGCACGAUCUUCGUCGCACCGCUGCACUGUCCGGCCGGGUACGGGCUGGACCGGUUCAAGCGCUGCCGGAAGCUGAUCUACUGGGGACGCCACCUCCAGAAGCGGAUCAACAGUCGAAUUCUCAGCAGAGUACGGCCCACAUCUUUCGAUCGCCGAGUGGAGUCCGCAGUGGGGCGUCUUGUGGCGCUGGCCAGAUGUACGACAGCUCGGGAAUGUGCCGGAAUGCGGUGUACUUUUGAGACACGGUGAAAAUCUGCCACCUUUGGAUGCUGGUGCUCAUUGCCAUCGUGGCCAUUUUCCCCCCGUCGACCGAAACGGUUCGAGUGCUGUGCCGGAUGAAACCGUCCGGAACGAAGACGGACACGGCCAACGUGCUGACUUCGCCGAACGCCACCACCUGUCCCCAGGGAACGAAGCUGGACCGGAGGGGGGCCUGCCGGAAUGCAAUCACUUUUUAAUUAGGCCUGUGCUGUACCAGUGUGGGAUCGGGGAGUUAUAUUGGGAGUCGUAAUGAAUCAGUUCCAGGAAUAAUAUGUGACAGAAUCGUACUACCUUUGAGCCGGUCGCAGAUGUCAAGUGUAUUUCUACUUUAAGUAUCAACUAGCUUAGUACUUAGAAGGAGCUGCAAUAAUGAUUCGACUUUAGACUAUAUCCAUAGAAUAUAAGUAUUCGUCGACUAUACAACAAUAAAAUGUUCAAGCGAAUUAACUUUUAAUUCAAUAUACAGUACUUGUUCGGUAACUGGGCUGAGAACGUAGCCCAGUCACCGAAUGCUGCUCGCUAACUGGGCUUAACGAAAAAAUACGAGGGGACCACCGAUGCAUAAUAUUUUCCAGAUGAAAUAGAAACAUAAAAGUUACUCAAACUUAUUUACAUUGCUUACCUUUCAUAUUUCUCUAAUUGUGACUUGAAAUUAAAUAAAAGAUUGAAAAAAGUUUUUUUAAUUUGUUGAA